CGAGCGAGAUCUGACAGCGUAUCGUCAGGUCUAGCGGCAGACGGGUGAGUAAUAUUUGGGCAAUCUACCUUUGAGUGGGGGACAACCGGCCGAAAGGCUGGCUAAUACCCCAUAAGACCACAGGGAUGCAUAUCCAAGGGGUCAAAGCUCCGCAAGGGGCGCUUGAAGAGGAGCCCGAAUCCUAUCAUGGUAGUUGGCGGGGUAAUGGCCCACCAAGCCGUUGACGGGUAGCCGGCCUGAAAGGGCAACCGGCCACACUGGCACUGAGACACGGGCCAGACUCCUACGGGAGGCAGCAGUGGGGAAUUUUGGACAAUGGGGGCAACCCUGAUCCAGCGACGCCGCGUGAAGGAUGAAGGUCUUAACUGAUUGUAAACUUCUUUUGAUGGGGAUGAAUGACCUGGUGAAUAACCAGGAGUGACAGUACUCAUCGAAUAAUCCACGGCUAACUACGUGCCAGCAGCCGCGGUAAUACGUAGGUGGCAAGCGAUA
rnacentral:rRNA from 1 species